UACGAAGGGGGCUAGCGUUGUUCGGAAUCACUGGGCGUAAAGCGCACGUAGGCGGAUCUUUAAGUCAGGGGUGAAAUCCUGGAGCUCAACUCCAGAACUGCCUUUGAUACUGGGAGUCUUGAGUUCGGGAGAGGUGAGUGGAACUGCGAGUGUAGAGGUGAAAUUCGUAGAUAUUCGCAAGAACACCAGUGGCGAAGGCGGCUCACUGGCCCGAUACUGACGCUGAGGUGCGAAAGCGUGGGGAGCAAACAGG
rnacentral:rRNA from 1 species